rnacentral:lncRNA from 1 species
CUCCAUGUUCCUUCCCAACCCUUCUCCCGCAGGCUCCAACCGUGGUGGUGGGGGGCGAGCAGCUGCCGUCCGGUGGCCUGGGAAGUGAGGAGGGCGCCGGUCUAAAGCACGAGAGCUCGACGCUUGGCGACAGUACAGAUCAGUUACAGCGGUGGCGAUGGCCCAAAGGCAAAAGGGGAUGGCUGCAUGAUGAUCUUGUUCUGAUCAAUUCUGAAAUAGGAAUGGGGGACUACCGUGGUGGUCGCUGUUGAGGAUGCUGGGUUACCUGACAGUAGGUAUGCUAUUUCAGAAUUAUUGGUUGGACGUACAGUCUCAAAGUCUCAACCUAGCAAGAACACUUUCAUGCUGAUACAUUUUUUUGUCUGAAAAAAUAUGUAGUCCUUUUUGUCUUGGAACAAUAUAAAUUCUGGAGCAUGAACUGAAGAGAGGAUACUUAAACAUGUAUGUGCUGAAAGGCAAAUUACUUUGGAAGUUUAUUGUAACUGGUAUACAGUUUUGGCAGUAAAAGCGCGAGCGCCGUGAGGGAUGCCAAGCAAGUUCCUGCUACGUAAAAAAAGGUUUCAAAAUUUUUGUUUCUUAAAUCACCUCAAAGAGAUGUGUGUUUUAUACUUCUUUUUGUAGAAGGAUGUGCUCAGCGACACAUCAAAUUAUUAACAUGAGCUUUAUGUAGAUGAUUUUGAUUUAUAAGUUGUUCAAAAAUAAUACUGACUGCAGUUGUCUUACUCCAGAUCGUGAAGAAAUACACUUUGUCUUAUGAGAUCAGCCUGAUUGUCAUCAAAAGCAAAUGUCCCUAAACAAGCAAUAUGCAUUUAUGUGCUCUGACAUCUUCGUGUUACUUUUAGUGGAAAGCAGUACAAAGUGCAAAUUUCACAUGCCAAUACUAAUUAUUCACCUAGCUUAUGCAAAUUAUCCAGCAUUUUCCGUUCAGAUAUGAUCUGCUGCAAACACCAUAAGUCACCACUCACCAGCACAUGACCGUUCCCUCUAGAACUUUGACCGUCGUGUCAUUUGAUUGAGAAAGAACAAGGUGGCCGAGCGACAAACUGAACAAUGUCGGAAAGCUGCAACAAACGAGUGGUGGCAGCGCAUACGCUUGUUGAACUGUGGAGGCACCCAUGCGCGUGCAUAUUUUUUCUAGCAAUUCAACGUUUUAUUCUCUUAAUAGAACCUCAAUAAUCCACAUUCCAAAAGUUUCACAUUUACUUGCCUAUGAAGAUAUUCUUUCUACCUUUAAUAAACCAAAAGAUGACUGGUUUUUCUUCUAUCACAUUUACUAAUUCUUUCACUUUUUAGUUUUGCUUUGGAGACUAAGCUUAAAAUUUUCUGACACAAUUAUCUCUAAAGUCUGGGCCAAUCUUAUUUUUCUAAUUUUUGACAUAGUGAUAUAUUUUAAGACAACGGCUGGUCAACUUAUCUUCUUUAUAUGUGAUCCUGAGCUGAUUUGAAGGUCCCAUUUUUCUUGAGUGGCAGGCUGGUGAGCAGGACGAGGACCAUAGUCCAGGGAGUGUUUGAUUUCAAGAGAGAUCAUUGGGAUUGGGGACGAGUUCAUAACCAUGUUCCUGUCAAGUUUUAGCAAUAUGGUCCAGAGAGUGGUAAUUACUUGGUUAAACAAACAUCUUCCAGUCUUGAUAUGCCUUUUCACUUUUGAUUAUUUGUGAGAACUUUUAGUACGUGUCCUUGUCAACGCUAGAACUACUGACAACUUUGAAGCAAAAUUAUUCAGAGAAAUUGUUCCAUGGAAGAAGUUAAACGAAGAUGCUAUGAUGCUAUUAUUCAUUGAUUGUUUGCGAGAUACAGAGAUAGAUAUAUUGAAGUUUGUAAUGGCUAAUGGCCAAACAUAUGAAUCUGUUCUUGAUACUCCUUUUCCCUUUUCUUAAUAUCAUCACAUAAAAAUUAGAAGCUUUCUAACAUAUGCAUAUUUCAGGUUUCAGAAGAGGUAGAGAAAGCGAUGUUCAGACAAUUUAGUGCAGAAGCAACACCUCCAAGAUGAGAAAAAUGUUUCUAUUUAGCCUUCUUUGCUAGCUGUGUUCCUCUGUUUUUUUUUACUGAAGUUGGUUGCCAGAUUAAUGCAUAGUAGGUGAGUGCUUCAGGCUGUAGAUUUGGCUCGCUUCCUGAGUACCUCCUGUCUCAUGUGGUUAGAGCUAUGCGAGUAAUUAUGAAGGCUUGAUCACCAGGAAACAUCCAUGUCAAUUAUGUGUUCGCUGAAUUUCCUUAAGCAUAUGGGAUUCAGUUGUUUGAUGAAUUGCCCCCAAAAGGUUUUGAUGAAUUUCCUUAAGUAGGCUUCUUUUCAUAAUUAAUAUCAAUAGAUCUUGCUUUAUCAGUACACGUGAAUGUAAGGAUCUGUACUAUUAGUUGAUGGUUUGGCAAGUAAUGUAAAUCUUCCAAUUGACGAUUCUCUAGGAUUCUGAAGUCUAAGUUUCUCUCUUUCCAUCCCUGUAGGGUUAUCCUGGUUUUGUUAGCAUCAUAACUCUCAGUGAAUAUAAGUCCAUUGUUUCCUUUUUAUUGGUAUGUGAGAAAAGUGGAUGUGCAUGCCUCCAGUCAAACAAAGACUGAAUCUUACUGUAAAGCAAAUUCAAACCCAUUGAGACUAGCUUUUCCAAGACUUAAAUUAUUGAGAGUGUCACUUUUAUACAUCAUGAUUGGUGCUACAGUUAUACUUAACAUACAAAAGCAUUCAUAUCUUGCUGGAAGCUGUGCUUCUCUGCUUCAUACAUGUUUUUUGAUGUGCAAUGCUGCCACUUACUACAUUGCCUGCCACAUGCUCCGACGGAUGGCUCAGUUAUGUAGCG